rnacentral:rRNA from 1 species
UACGUAGGGGGCAAGCGUUGUCCGGAAUCAUUGGGCGUAAAGCGCGUGUAGGCGGCUCGAUAAGUCUGCUGUGAAAGUUCAGGGCUCAACCCUGAAAUGCCGGUGGAAACUGUCGAGCUAGAGUCCGGAAGAGGCGAGUGGAAUUCCUGGUGUAGUGGUGAAAUACGUAGAUACCUGGAGGAACACCGGUGGCGAAGGCGGCGACCUGGUCCAAUACUGACACUCAUACACGAAAGCGUGGGGAUCAAACAGG